UGGAGCCGGAGCGGGACCCGGUGCAGGCCCUUCGGAGCGGGACCCGGUGCAGGCCCUUCGGGCCAACACCCGGCGGACCAUCAGCCGGGCUCGGGCCGGCCAGCCCCCAAAAAAAGGCCCGCGCCGGCGACCCGCAGACGCCCCGCCCCUGGCGCCGCGCAACCGAACGUACUGCAACGUCGGGCGCUGCACCGGGGAGGUGCAGCAUUAUGGCAUUCACCGGCACUUCGAGGACUGUCACAAGGACAUCCAGGACAUCGCGGGCGCUGUCCGGGCCCUGAGGCGGGCGCAGCAUCCCCGGCGGGCUCCCAGGCGGCCAGUGUACCGGUGCCCGGAGUGCGCGGCGGAGGUUCAGGACUUCCGCCGCCACUUCGCCAACCACUUCGCGAGGACGUCGGCUGAGUUCCUGCGGGCUGACGCCAACAAGGAGGUCGUCGCUCGGCCUGCUGCAUUCUAAUCAGUACAAUCAGUAUCUCUACCUAAUCUUGUGUAAUUUUACAAUCAUGUGAUAUGUACUGUGAUAAAGAAUAAACGUUU